AACGCCUUCUCUCUCUUGGGUUCUCCCUCAUCUCCUCCGUGACCUCUCUUUCCAUGGCCGCCAAGAGGAACCUCGGCAGGUCGCCGCCGGCGGCGGCGGCGAAUGCGAAUGCGUAGGUCAAGAAAGACGACGAGGAGGGGCACUUCUCCUCGCACUCCUUCGCCGACCUCGGCCCCCACCACACCCCACCCUCUGCGCCCGCCUCCAAGGGGGCUCCUCAUCUGAUAUGAGCUAGUAGCAAAAGUAGGGAAGCACACACCUUGGUUAUUGAGGAGCAGCAUCAGAUCCAAUGCUUUGAGAGGAGUAAUGAGGAUGUGGGCUAUGAAAGACGAAUAGUGAGGCUAUGGAGGCUCCUCAUCUGAUCUGAGCAAGUAGCCAAAGCAGGGAAACACACAUUUUGGUUAUCAAGCAGCAGCAGCAGGAUCAGAUCAGAAGCUUGGAGAAGGGAGGGAGAGGAAGGGGUCUUGUUAUUAAACUGAGCAUAUACUGAGCUGUGGUGGCGAUGUAAACCAAGUGUUUUGUUCCCAGCAACAGCCAUGGUGAUUGUGACAGAGGAUGGUCCAGAUUACAGCUGUUAUCCUGUCGAUUCGCCCUAGGCCCGACGGCCCAUCAUCGGACAUAUAAAGAAAGGUUUCAGUCAUUAUCAAGGUUCCUAAUUGAGCGAUACAGUUGUACAGUAGUACCAAUGUUCAAGGAGUGUAAACACCUCUGAAUUUUGUUUACAGCAUCCACAGCAGUGUUAACCAUGCAUCUGCGACAUCCAGACGCAAUCUGUUAAAAAUUCCGAGGUCGCUGAAAAAAAGGAGACGCACUAUUCUUAUUUUCCUUUUUUCCUUUUUCCAUUCCACUUGAUAGUUGAUACUAUAUAGUUUUGGUUGAAUUUUUCAA